rnacentral:rRNA from 1 species
GACGAACCGUGCGAACGUUAUUCGGAAUCACUGGGCUUAAAGCGUGUGUAGGCGGAUCGUUAAGUGUCUUGUGAAAUCCCACGGCUCACCCGUGGAACUGCUGGGCAUACUGGCGAUCUUGGGCCAACUAGGGGCAACUGGAACAAGCGGUGGAGCGGUGAAAUGCGUAGAUAUCGCUUGGAACGCCAAAGGUGAAAACAGGUUGCUGGGGUUGUGCCGACGCUGAGACACGAAAGCCAGGGGAGCAAACGGG